rnacentral:rRNA from 1 species
ACGGGGUGCAGCAGGCGCGAAAUCUUCACAAUGUGCGAAAGCACGAUGAGGGGAUCCCAAGUGUUGGUUCGUAAGAGUCAUCUGUUUCUUUGUCUAAAAAACAGAGAGAGUAAGAGCUGGGUAAGACGGGUGCCAGCCGCCGCGGUAAUACCUGCAGCUCAAGUGGUGGCCGCUAUUAUUGGGCCUAAAACGUCCGUAGCCGGUUUAGUAAAUGCCUGGGUAAAUUGUGUAGCUCAACUAUACGAAUACCGGGUAGACUGCUAAACUUGGAACCGGGAGAGGCUAGAGGUACUCCUAGGGUAGAGGUGAAAUUCUGUAAUCCUAGGGGGACCACCAGUGGCGAAGGCGUCUAGCCAGAACGGGUUUGACGGUGAGGGACGAAGCCCUGGGGCGCAAACCGGAUUAGAUACCCGGGUAGUCCAGGGUGUAAACGCUGCUCGCUUGAUGUUAGUCGGGCUCCGAGCCCAACUAGUGUCGGAGAGAAGUUGUUAAGCGAGCUGCCUGGGAAGUACGGUCGCAAGGCUGAAACUUAAAGGAAUUGGCGGGGGAGCACAGCAACGGGUGGAGCGUGCGGUUUAAUUGGAUUCAACGCCGGAAAUCUCACCGGAGGCGACGGUUAUAUGAAGGCCAGGCUGAUGACCUUGCCUGAUUUUCCGAGAAGUGGUGCAUGGCCGUCGUCAGUUCGUACCGUGAGGCGUUCUGUUAAGUCAGACAACGAACGAGACCCUCAUCUUUAGUUGCUACUGGUA